rnacentral:misc_RNA from 1 species
CAUAAAUACCCUUUUUAAUGUAGAUAAAUAGGAUUUCAAAUCCUCACUUCCUUCAUAAAACUUUCAUAGAUGGAACUAAUACAAUGUGCACACCUUAUUCAUAAACAAUAGAAACAGAGGUUUCAUUUGUGGUGUGUUCACCUAUCUAUGGUCUUGUUGACAGCAGCACCUCCUCGAUCAAUCUGUCUAAAUUUAUAUAUGAGCUACCGUUAGGAGCUGUGGCCUCCUCUGCUUUUCUCUUCCACUCUAAUGCCUUCUUUUUCAUUUCUUUACCCUUCUCUCCCUCCAUUAACUCCUUUAGAAGCUUCUCCACUUCAUCUCUCUUCACGUUAUAAUCUAUCUCCAUGCCAAUACCCCAAUCAUUGCAAGCAAACCUACAGUUAGUAGGCGUCUCACCAAUAAAUGGCCAACAAACCAUUGGCACUCCGCUUGACAAGCUUUCAAUAGUCGAAUUCCAUCCCAUAUGGCUUAGAAACCCUCCAAUUGAUGGGUGUUUUAGGAUUUGUUCCUGCUGACACCAGCUUGCCAUCAUACCUCUUUCUUUGGUUUCAUCAAGGAACUCUUUUGGCAAAAUUGCGGAUUCACCUUGGACAAGGUCAGGCCUUAUUAUCCAGAGAAAGUUUUGUUUGCUGUUAGCUAGUCCCCACGCAAAUUCUACAAGUUGUUGCGGGGUGAUGACAGUCAUGCUGCCAAAAUUUACAAAAACGGCUGAAUUGGGUUCCUUGGAAUCAAGCCAUUGAAGACACUCAGUGUCUUCUUUCCACAGAUUGGAACUGAUGGAUGCUACAUCAUUCUCUGAAGAAUUUUCACCAAGAAGCAACUGGAGAGGACCCAGGGUGUAAAUUGGAGGGCUGAACAUAGAUGAAAGACCAAGCAAAACUUCAUUUUCUAACUCAUCAUAAGUAUUUAAAACAAUGGCUGAAGCUUUUGAGGCUCUCUCUAUCUCUCUAAUCGUAAAUUUUAGCAUUGAAUCAUUUCCAUCUGUUAUGCGAGUUAUAGUCGGCAAGUCCCUCAGGCGAAUAUCUUUCAUACCUGGAAUCCAAUCGAUGGUAGUCUCCAGAUACCCAUUUGUUAAAUAGCUCACAUCUUCAAGUGGUACUAGGCCUCUUUCAAUAAGAUUCUUAGAAUUUGCAUAGCCUAAGAAUCCACAAGCACUUGUAGUCCAAAAA